UACGGAGGAGGCAAGCGUUAUCCGGAAUUAUUGGGCGUAAAGCGUCCGCAGGUGGCACCUCAAGUCUGCUGUCAAAGACCGGGGCUUAACCCCAGAAAGGCAGUGGAAACUGAAGUGCUAGAGUGCAGUAGGGGUAGAGGGAAUUCCCGGUGUAGCGGUGAAAUGCGUAGAGAUCGGGAAGAACAUCGGUGGCGAAAGCGACUCUCUGGUCGGAUUCUGACGCUGAGGUGCGAAAGCUAGGGGAGCAAACGGG
rnacentral:rRNA from 1 species